rnacentral:lncRNA from 1 species
UUCAGGCUAUCAAAGCUACCCCUACCCUCUGCGCCCCAUCUCUCUCCACUGUGGUCUGCCCCCGGGUGGAACUGAAUCAGGGAACCUUCUCUCUGCUCCCUUAUUGGCUAACACAUCCCCUGUUUUGUAAGAGGCUGGGCCUCCCCCAAGAGGCUCCUGGACAGUAUCUGUGCUCCAAAUAAUUUAAAGUCCUGGGUGUAGCCCUGUGAGAGACAGCUGAGAUUUUAAAGCCUUUGGGGAUCCUGCCAAUCAUAUCAGCAGCUGCCCUUGUCCUAACUGGGGUCACCAAUGGCUUCACCACAGCCCUGAAGGGAACUCCCUCACCCCAUCCCAGCCAUCAGAGAAAGAUUGAAUUGUUUCACAUCCUAGACAUAAUCCAAAGUUCACAAUGGUUACCAGAGCGGGUCUUCCAGCUCCAGCCAGCCCACCAGAUGCCCAGCUCGACACCCACACUCCAAGCUGCCAACAGGCAGGGCGGCCAGCCAGACUCAGUGGAGACAGGCCAAGCCCAGAAUUCAGUCCCAGCCUCAUCCUCCAGGCCAGCAGGCAAGGGUAGUUGAGAUAAUGAUGAGGGAACGAGAGCGUGGACAAAAUCCCAAGAAGUAAUGAACCCAGGCAUUUCCAGCAUCUGGAGUUGAAAUGAUCUUUAAUUUCAAUUUGGGAGCAAAAAUAAUGUGACUGCAGUCAAACCCUCCCCUCACAGCCUGCUCCCUGACAGCUUUGUUACUGCCUGCAGUGCUGACAGGGCCUCCGCACCCUGUUCUUUCACCCUCCUUAGCAGCAAUGUUCUUCCUGCCUCAACUUACCUCAACUGAGAAAUGGGUACAGGCCCCACCUGCAAGUGUACACAGCUGCCUUUCUGUCCCUGGCUGGGUAUCAGAAGAAAAAACCCAAAAUCCCCCUUAAAGCUCUAUCUUGCUGUCUUCUCUCCACCCUGAGCCAGUAGAUCCCAUCAGUCCCCUCUCUCCCUGCUCCCUAAUACCCUCUCUCUCUUCUGAUUCCACCCACCCUUGCCUCUCAGGCCUCUCUCCAACCGGGGCAUACCUUUGUUCCAGCCUGACCUCCAGGUGCCCUGUGUUAGAAGAAUGCUAAGGCAGCCAAGG